rnacentral:rRNA from 1 species
UACCAUGAGUAAAGUGGCGACCGGGUGAGUAACACGUGACUAACCUACCCUCGAGUGGGGAAUAACGCCGGGAAACCGGCGCUAAUACCGCAUAACAUCGCGAGAUCAAAGCAGCAAUGCGCUUGAGGAGGGGGUCGCGGCCGAUUAGUUAGUUGGUAGGGUAAUGGCCUACCAAGACGAAGAUCGGUAGCCGGCCUGAGAGGGCGCACGGCCACACUGGAACUGAAACACGGUCCAG